rnacentral:tRNA from 1 species
GUUUAAAUAGCUUAGUGUAAGAGCGUGGUAUUGAAGAUACUGAGGUAAUAUAUUUAUAUUUUUAAGCA